GGCCGCGGGAAUUCGAUUGAGUUUGAUCAUGGCUCAGGAUGAACGCUGGCGGCGUGCUUAACACAUGCAAGUCGAGCGGAUGACGGGAGCUUGCUCCUUGAUUCAGCGGCGGACGGGUGAGUAAUGCCUAGGAAUCUGCCUGGUAGUGGGGGACAACGUUUCGAAAGGAACGCUAAUACCGCAUACGUCCUACGGGAGAAAGCAGGGGACCUUCGGGCCUUGCGCUAUCAGAUGAGCCUAGGUCGGAUUAGCUAGUUGGUGGGGUAAUGGCUCACCAAGGCGACGAUCCGUAACUGGUCUGAGAGGAUGAUCAGUCACACUGGAACUGGGACACGGUCCAGACUCCUACGGGAGGCAGCAGUGGGGAAUAUUGGACAAUGGGCGAAAGCCUGAUCCAGCCAUGCCGCGUGUGUGAAGAAGGUCUUCGGAUUGUAAAGCACUUUAAGUUGGGAGGAAGGGCAGUAAGCUAAUACCUUGCUGUUUUGACGUUACCGACAGAAUAAGCACCGGCUAACUCUGUGCCAGCAGCCGCGGUAAUACAGAGGGUGCAAGCGUUAAUCGGAAUUACUGGGCGUAAAGCGUGCGCAGGCGGUUUUGUAAGACAGGCGUGAAAUCCCCGGGCUUAACCUGGGAAUUGCG
rnacentral:rRNA from 1 species